rnacentral:rRNA from 1 species
GACGAACGCUGGCGGCGUGCCUAAUACAUGCAAGUUGAGCGCUGAAGGUUGGUACUUGUACCGACUGGAUGAGCAGCGAACGGGUGAGUAACGCGUGGGGAAUCUGCCUUUGAGCGGGGGACAACAUUUGGAAACGAAUGCUAAUACCGCAUAAAAACUUUAAACACAAGUUUUAAGUUUGAAAGAUGCAAUUGCAUCACUCAAAGAUGAUCCCGCGUUGUAUUAGCUAGUUGGUGAGGUAAAGGCUCACCAAGGCAAGGAUACAUAGCCGACCUGAGAGGGGGUUCGCCCAAUUGGGAAUGGGAAAAGGGCCAAGACGCUAACGGAGGCCGGCGGAGGGGAAUCUUGGGCAUGGGGGAAAGUCUGAACGAGGCAAGGCGGGGGAGUUGAGAAGGUUUUCGGAUCGUAAAAAUCUGUUGGUAGAGAAGAACGAUGGUGAGAGUGGAAAGCUCAUAAAGUGACGGUAACUAACCAGAAAGCGACGGCUAACUACGUG